CAGAACUGUUUAAGGAUCGUGGGUACCUGUGCCUUGCCUGGCCCCAUAAGGAGCUCUCGACUCCUGCACUCUAGGAGAAGCCAUGCUCUGGAGACAGGCAGCCUAGAGGUCUGUGUCCCAACAAAUGGAGCCCUCCUAUCACUGACCAGGACAAACACGUAACCAAGGCCACUCUCGGUCAAGCCCGCAGAGGAGCCCCCAGCCCUGGCUAACAUCUUGACUCCAGCCACACCAGAACUGUAGUGCCAAAACCACCUAGCUGAGCCAGUUCCUGAUCCCAGACUACACGGGUGACACCGGUGACUGUGUUGAUAUGCUUUGUGCCGGGAUCCUUUGCUAACGCAGCGAUGGCCAGCUAACUUGAGGCUGGCGACAGAGCCUGGAGCCACACCUCCCCACUGCCAUGGCAGUGACGGACCUGGGCUUGAAACAACUUGGCCUGAUCCGCGUCCACUGCAGAGGGAUCUGGAGUUGAAGCAGAGACAACCAGGUAGUGCUGACAGCCAAUGCUGCCACAGAUGGAGUUCUGGAUGAUACCAGAUGGAACAAGCUCUGUGAGGCUAGAGGGCAGGCCAAGGUAAAAGAGGGUACGGUGACUUUCGGUCAUCUGGACUCAAACCCUUGUCUUCCCCAUAAUAUCUCUCUGCUUUAGUUUCUCAACUGUAAAAUGGUAUGAAUAAACCUGUCCUGUGGGGUAGUA